AGCAGCCGCGGUAAUUCCAGCUCCAAUAGCGUAUAUUAAAGUUGUUGCAGUUAAAAAGCUCGUAGUUGAAUUUCGGGUUAGUAGAUUGGUCGUGCCUCCGGUAUGUACUGGUCUUACUGAUUCCUCCUUCUUGAAGAACUGUAAUGCCAUUAAUUUGGUGUUAUGGGGAAUCUGGACUGUUACUUUGAAAAAAUUAGAGUGUUUAAAGCAGGCUAACGCUUGAAUACAUUAGCAUGGAAUAAUGAAAUAGGACGUUCGAUCCUAUUUUGUUGGUUCUAGGAUUGACGUAAUGAUUAAUAGGGAUAGUUGGGGCAUUAGUAUUCAAUUGUCAGAGGUGAAAUUCUUGGAUUUAUUGAAG
rnacentral:rRNA from 1 species